CCUCAGGGGCGGUGUUGGUGACACAUGAGCAGUGUUCGCGUGGCACUGCGAAGGCUGUGCUGCAGCGAGGCCUUGUCACUGAGGCAGUGAGUUUACUUUCUAAAAUUUGCCAAAGCUGGGAACGGUGGCACACACCUGCAAUCCUGGCAGUAGAGGGCUAGGCAGGAGGAUCCCAAGUUCAAACCCAACCAAGGCUUAGCCACAUGGUGAGACCCUGUCUGAAAGUAUAAAAAAGGCCUGGAUGCAAGAGCCCAGGGUUCAGUCCUCAGUACCACAGAAACAUUCCCGAGGGCCUGCUGCCGGCUGGAUGGACACCCCGGAGUGGGUGAUGGGGGCCAACAGGAGCACAGCGGUGCUGCUGCCUGGGGCCCCAAACAUCAGUGUGCCACACCGCUGCCUGCUGCUGCUGUACGAGGACGUGGGCACCUCCAGGUGAGGGCACCGCCCGCCGCCGGCAGCUCA
rnacentral:lncRNA from 1 species